UACGUAGGGGGCAAGCGUUGUCCGGAAUCAUUGGGCGUAAAGAGCGUGUAGGCGGCCUGAUAAGUCGGCUGUGAAAGUCAAGGGCUCAACCCUUGAAUGCCGGCCGAUACUGUCAGGCUAGAGUCCGGAAGAGGCGAGUGGAAUUCCUGGUGUAGCGGUGAAAUGCGCAGAUAUCAGGAGGAACACCGAUGGCGAAGGCAGGUCUCUGGGCCGAUACUGACGCUGAGGAGCGAAAGCGUGGGGAGCGAACAGG
rnacentral:rRNA from 1 species